rnacentral:rRNA from 1 species
AAUACGUAGGGUGCGAGCGUUGUCCGGAAUUAUUGGGGGUAAAGGGCUCGUAGGCGGUUUGUCGCGUCGGGAGUGAAAACCAGGUGCUUAACACCUGGCUUGCUUUCGAUACGGGCAGACUAGAGGUAUUCAGGGGAGAACGGAAUUCCUGGUGUAGCGGUGAAAUGCGCAGAUAUCAGGAGGAACACCGGUGGCGAAGGCGGUUCUCUGGGAAUAUCCUGACGCUGAGGAGCGAAAGUGUGGGGAGUGAACAGG